GGGGGAACCGACUUGAUCGUACCGUGCCCCCCUGGCCCCACAAAAAAUGUUUAAAUCACAACUUUGACUUGACAUUUGAUAAAUGUUUCUGAUUGAAGAUGACAGGAUACGGGAAGGGUGGAUCACUGAUUGCAGGAAACAGACAAGGAAUUGAGGAGUCCAUCUAUACCUCACUGCUCAAGGCUUACAAUUAUAACCAUGGGAACCUACUCAUAAAAAUAUAGGAAAGUGUAAUAUAUAGAGAAUAUUAUUAAAAAUCAAGAUAAAUCUAAACAUGUGGCUCUAAAAGAGUACGAAUAACUAAGGUAGAAAGGCCAAUGCUCUCAAGAACUACAAAAGAGGUAGAGAUAAAGUUUCAGUUUCCCUUAUGAAGUCCGGUGGUGAGUCACCUCUCGACUGCAAAGGGUUAAUCAUGACGGAAUCACGAUGCCUUUGAAAAGUUGCGACGUCACGAAUCGAUUCCACGAGGGAGCAGGGAAAUUGUUCCUCGCCUAGCCAUCUACGUCGCGGAGAACGCGUGCAGCCCUUAACAGCGGGAAAGGGACGAACCCCUGCUGCGCACCAUGGAGGGUCGACUUUCAAGGAUUACUGCGUUCCAUCGUCCCAACUGCGUUUCAGCGAUCGCAUCUUUGUCUCCGGUAAAAUCAGCCUUGCAUAGUUUCCACGUUAACCGUUGACCUCCCGCUUUUCCGGAAGUAGCAAUGCCCGAAGUGACAAAGAGUCCCACGGAGGUAAGGAAGCAUUUAGCCCAGAUCCAUAUAUUUCUAAAUUGUCUU